GACGAACGCUGGCGGCGUGCUUAACACAUGCAAGUCGAACGGAAAGGCCCUGCUUUUGUGGGGUGCUCGAGUGGCGAACGGGUGAGUAACACGUGAGUAACCUGCCCUUGACUUUGGGAUAACUUCAGGAAACUGGGGCUAAUACCGGAUAGGAGCUCCUGCUGCAUGGUGGGGGUUGGAAAGUUUCGGCGGUUGGGGAUGGACUCGCGGGUUAUCCGCUUGUUGGUGUGGUAGUGGCUUACCAAGGCUUUGACGGGUAGCCGGCCUGAGAGGGUGACCGGCGACAUUGGGACUGAGAUACGUCCCAGACUCCUACGGGAGGCAGCAGUGGAGAAUAUUGCACAAUGGGCGGAAGCGUGAUGCAGCAACGCCGCGUGCGGGAUGACGGCCUUCGGGUUGUAAACCGCUUUCGCCUGUGACGAAGCGUGAGUGACGGUAAUGGGUAAAGAAGCACCGGCUAACUACGUG
rnacentral:rRNA from 1 species